UGGGGAAUAUUGCACAAUGGGCGCAAGCCUGAUGCAGCCAUGCCGCGUGUAUGAAGAAGGCCUUCGGGUUGUAAAGUACUUUCAGUCGGGAGGAAGGUGGUAAGGUUAAUAAUCUUGGCAAUUGACGUUACCGACAGAAGAAGCACCGGCUAACUCCGUGCCAGCAGCCGCGGUAAUACGGAGGGUGCAAGCGUUAAUCGGAAUUACUGGGCGUAAAGCGCACGCAGGCGGUUGAUUGAGUCAGAUGUGAAAUCCCCGGGCUUAACCCGGGAAUUGCAUCUGAUACUGGUCAGCUAGAGUCUUGUAGAGGGGGGUAGAAUUCCAUGUGUAGCGGUGAAAUGCGUAGAGAUGUGGAGGAAUACCGGUGGCGAAGGCGGCCCCCUGGACAAAGACUGACGCUCAGGUGCGAAAGCGUGGGGAGCAAACAGG
rnacentral:rRNA from 1 species